rnacentral:rRNA from 1 species
ACAAAGGGUUGCUACACAGCGAUGUGAUGCUAAUCUCAAAAAGCCGAUCGUAGUCCGGAUUGGAGUCUGCAACUCGACUCCAUGAAGUCGGAAUCGCUAGUAAUCGCGGAUCAGAAUGCCGCGGUGAAUACGUUCCCGGGCCUUGUACACACCGCCCGUCACACCAUGGGAGUUUGUUGCACCAGAAGUAGCUAGCCUAACUGCAAAGAGGGCGGU